rnacentral:rRNA from 1 species
CAUAACCUUUAGCUAAACCAGUAUUAAAGGCAACGCCUGCCCAGUGAAUAAUUAAACGGCCGCGGUACCCUAACCGUGCAAAGGUAGCGUAAUCAUUUGUCUAUUAAUUGUAGACCCGUAUGAAAGGCAUAAUGAGGGUUUAACUGUCUCUUUUAGUAAAUCAAUUAAACUGAUCUCCUAGUCCAAAAGCUAGGAUACCACCAUAAGACCAGAAGACCCUGUGAAACUUUAACUAAAAUAUUAAAGCCUAUAAUAACUACUUUAGGUUGGGGCGACCUUGGAAAAUAAAAGAACUUCCACACAUAUUAUACAAUAAUAUAUAACCGGCCAACAAGCCUACAACGACCCAGCACAGCUGAUAAUUGAACCAAGCUACUCCAGGGAUAACAGCGCUAUCUUCUUCAAGAGCCCAUAUCAAAAAGAAGGUUUACGACCUCGAUGUUGGAUCAGGACAUCCUAAUGGUGCAACCGCUAUUAAGGGUUCGUUUGUUCAACGAUUAAUAGUCCUACGUG